CCUACGGGGGGCAGCAGUGGGGAAUAUUGGACAAUGGGGGGAACCCUGAUCCAGCCAUGCCGCGUGUGUGAAGAAGGCCCUCGGGUUGUAAAGCACUUUCAGUGAGGAAGAACGCCUGGUGGUUAAUACCCAUCAGGAAAGACAUCACUCACAGAAGAAGCACCGGCUAACUCCGUGCCAGCAGCCGCGGUAAUACGGAGGGUGCGAGCGUUAAUCGGAAUUACUGGGCGUAAAGCGCGCGUAGGUGGCUUGAUAAGCCGGUUGUGAAAGCCCCGGGCUCAACCUGGGAACGGCAUCCGGAACUGUCAAGCUAGAGUGCAGGAGAGGAAGGUAGAAUUCCCGGUGUAGCGGUGAAAUGCGUAGAGAUCGGGAGGAAUACCAGUGGCGAAGGCGGCCUUCUGGACUGACACUGCCACUGAGGUGCGAAAGCGUGGGUAGCAAACAGGAUUAGAUACCCGUGUAGUC
rnacentral:rRNA from 1 species